rnacentral:rRNA from 1 species
CACGUAGGGUGCGAGCGUUGUCCGGAAUUAUUGGGCGUAAAGAGCUCGUAGGCGGUGUGUCGCGUCGGCCGUGAAAACCUGCAGCUUAACUGUGGGCUUGCGGUCGAUACGGGCAUCACUGGAGUGCGGUAGGGGAGAUCGGAAUUCCUGGUGUAGCGGUGAAAUGCGCAGAUAUCAGGAGGAACACCGGUGGCGAAGGCGGAUCUCUGGGCCGUAACUGACGCUGAGGAGCGAAAGCAUGGGGAGCGAACAGG